rnacentral:rRNA from 1 species
AGGACGAACGCUUGCGACGUGCCUAAGAAAUGCAAGUCGAACGAGGUAGCAAUACCUAGUGGCGAACGGUCGCGUAACACGUGGGCAACCUGCCCCAAAGUGGGGGAUAACAGCCUGAAAGGGCUGCUAAUACCGCAUGUGAACCCUUAUGGCAUCAUGGGGUGUUCAAAGCAGCAAUGCGCUUUGGGAUGGGCCCGCGGCCUAUCAGCUAGUUGGUGAGGUAACGGCUCACCAAGGCUUCGACGGGUAGCUGGUCUGAGAGGACGAUCAGCCGGAUUGGGACUGAGAUACGGCCCAGACUCCUACGGGGGGCAGCAAUUAGGAAUCUUGCGCAAUGGGCGAAAGCCUGACGCAGCGACGUCGCGUGGGGGAUGAAAUCUUUCGGGAUGUAAACCUCUUUCUCGGGAAGAAAAAAUGACGGUACCCGAGGAAUAAGCCCGGCUAACUACGUGCCAGCAGCCGC